rnacentral:rRNA from 1 species
AUUGAACGCUGGCGGCAGGCCUAACACAUGCAAGUCGAGCGGAUGAAGGGAGCUUGCUCCUGGAUUCAGCGGCGGACGGGUGAGUAAUGCCUAGGAAUCUGCCUGGUAGUGGGGGAUAACGUCCGGAGACGGGCGCUAAUACCGCAUACGUCCUGAGGGAGAAAGAGGGGGAUCUUCGGACCUCACGCUAUCAGAUGAGCCUAGGUCGGAUUAGCUAGUUGGUGGGGUAAAGGCCUACCAAGGCUACGAUCCGUAACUGGUCUGAGAGGAUGAUCAGUCACACUGGAACGGAGACACGGCCCAGACCACUACGGGAGGCAGCAGAGGGGAAUAGUGGACUAGGGGCUAAAGCCUGAUCCAACCAUGCCGAGUGUGUGAAGAAGGUCCUGGGAUUGUAAAGCUAAUCAUGUUGGGAGGAAGGGCAGUAAGUUAUAACCUUGCUGGUUUGACGGUACUAACAGAAUAAGCACCGGCUAACUUCGUG